rnacentral:rRNA from 1 species
GAUGAACGCUGGCGGCGUGCUUAACACAUGCAAGUCGAACGGUGAAGCAGGAGCUUGUUCUUGUGGAUCAGUGGCGAACGGGUGAGUAACACGUGAGCAACCUGCCCCUGACUCUGGGAUAAGCGCUGGAAACGGCGUCUAAUACCGGCUAUGUGAUGUGACCGCAUGGUCUGCAUCUGGUAAGAAUUUCGGUUGGGGAUGGGCUCGCGGCCUAUCAGCUUGUUGGUGAGGGAAUGGCUCACAAAGGCGUCGACGGGUAGCGGGCCUGGGAGGGUGACCGGGCACACUGGGACUGAGACACGGCCCAGACUCCUACGGGAGGCAGCAGUGGGGAAUAUUGCACAAUGGGCGGAAGCCUGAUGCAGCAACGCCGCGUGAGGGAUGACGGCCUUCGGGUUGUAAACCUCUUUUAGCAGGGAAGAAGCGAAAGUGACGGUACCUGCAGAAAAAGCACCGGCUAACUACGUGCCAGCCGCCGCCGUAA